rnacentral:rRNA from 1 species
CGGUACCUGAGUACUGCGAGGCACGUGAAACCUCGUGGGAAUCUGGGAGGACCAUCUUCCAAGGCUAAGUACUAACCGACGACCGAUAGUGCACCAGUACCGUGAGGGAAAGGUGAAAAGAACCCCUGUCAGGGGAGUGAAAUAGAAUCUGAAACCUGAUGCUUACAAGCUGUGGGAGCACCCUUGUGGUGUGACCGCGUGCCUUUUGCAUAAUGAGUCAGCGAGUUAAUCUGUACUGCAAGGUUAAGCGUAAGUGGAGCCGUAGCGAAAGCGAGUCUGAUAAGGGCGUUUAGUAGUGCGGAUUAGACCCGAAACCGGGUGAUCUAUCCAUGAGCAGGUUGAAGCAAGGGUAAAACCUUGUGGAGGACCGAACCAUUAACGGCUGAAAACGUUUUGGAUGACUUGUGGAUAGGGGUGAAAGGCCAAUCAAACCCGGUGAUAGCUGGUUCUCCCCGAAAUAUAUUGAGGUAUAGCCUCAUGGAUUGUCUACCGGAGGUAAAGCACUGACAGAGCUAGGGGUCCUACCAGAUUACCAAACUCUUUCAAACUCAGAAUGCCGGUCAGAUGUACCAUGGGAGUCAGACAGUGGGUGCUAAGGUCCAUUGUCGAGAGGGUAAGAGCCCAGAUCAACAGCUAAGGUCUCCAAAUCUAUGCUCAGUGGUUAAGGUGGUGACGUUGUAGAGACACCCAGGACGUUGGCUUAGAAGCAGCCAUCGUUUAAAGAAAGCGUAAUAGCUCACUGGUCUAAUGACGUUGCGCCGAAAAUGUAACGGGGCUAAGCAUAGUACCGAAGCUUUGAAUUCCACGUAUGUGGUCUGGUAGGGGAGCGUUCUUCAUGGGCUGAAGGUGUGUUGUAAAGCAUGCUGGACUGUGGAGAAGUGAUUAUGCUGACAUGAGUAACGAUAAAACGGGUGAAAAACCCGUUCGCCGUAAACCCAAGGUUUCCUGGGUAAAGGUAAUCUUCCCAGGGUUAGUCGGUCCCUAAGGUGAGGCUGAAAGGCGUAGCUGAUGGGAAACGAGUUAAUAUUCUCGUACUUGUACAUCUGUGCGAUGGAGGGACGCAGAAAGGUAGACAGGCCGGGUGUUGGUUGUCCCGGUGCAAGCAGGUAGACGUGUGGUACAGGCAAAUCCGUACUGCUCUACGUCGAGACGCGAGUCCGUGACCGUAAGGUCUGAAGCUGUUGAGCCUAUACUGCCUAGAAAAUCUUCUAAGUUUAGGAUGUGCAAACCGUACCGCAAACCAACUCAGGUGGGUGGGAUGAAUAAUCCAAGGCGCUCGAGAGAACUCUGGCCAAGGAACUCGGCAAAAUAACCCCGUACCUUCGGAAGAAGGGGUGCUCCUCCGGGUGAAGUUAAUUCACUUAACGAGCCUGAGGGAGCCGCAGAGAAAUGGUGGUGGCGACUGUUUACUAAAAACAUAGGUCUGUGCGAAGUCCUAAAGACGAGGUAGCGAAAUUCCUUGUCGGGUAAGUUCCGACCUGCACGAAUGGCGUAACGAUCUCCACACUGUCUCGGCCAGAGACUCGGUGAAAUUGAAGUCGCGGUGAAAAUGCCGUGUACCCGCAGAAAGACGGAAAGACCCUGUGCACCUUUACUAUAGCUUGACAUUGGGAUUUGGAACUGCAUGUGUAGGAUAGGUGGGAGACUGUGAACUCUGUACGCUAGUAUGG